rnacentral:rRNA from 1 species
UACGAGGGGGGCAAGCGUUGUUCGGAAUUAUUGGGCGUAAAGGGUGCGUAGGCGGUGCGGUAAGUCUGUUGUGAAAUCUCCGGGCUCAACUCGGAGUCUGCAUCAGAAACUGCCGUGCUGGAGUGUGGGAGAGGUGAGUGGAAUUCCCGGUGUAGCGGUGAAAUGCGUAGAGAUCGGGAGGAACACCUGCGGCGAAAGCGGCUCACUGGACAUUUCCUGACGCUGAGGCACGAAAGCCAGGGGAGCAAACGGGG